rnacentral:ncRNA from 3 species
CUUCGAUGUCGGCUCUUCC